UACGAAGGGUGCAAGCGUUACUCGGAAUUACUGGGCGUAAAGCGUGCGUAGGUGGUUCGUUAAGUCCGAUGUGAAAGCCCUGGGCUCAACCUGGGAAUGGCAUGGGAUACUGGCGGGCUAGAGUGCGGUAGAGGGUGGCGGAAUUCCCGGUGUAGCAGUGAAAUGCGUAGAUAUCGGGAGGAACAUCUGUGGCGAAGGCGGCCACCUGGACCAGCACUGACACUGAGGCACGAAAGCGUGGGGAGCAAACAGG
rnacentral:rRNA from 1 species